rnacentral:rRNA from 1 species
CAGCCGCCGCGGUAAUACGAAGGGUGCAAGCGUUAAUCGGAAUUACUGGGCGUAAAGCGUGCGUAGGCGGUUUGUUAAGUCUGUUGUGAAAUCCCCGGGCUCAACCUGGGAAUGGCAAUGGAUACUGGCAAGCUAGAGUGUGUCAGAGGAUGGUGGAAUUCCCGGUGUAGCGGUGAAAUGCGUAGAGAUCGGGAGGAACAUCAGUGGCGAAGGCGGCCAUCUGGGACAACACUGACGCUGAGGCACGAAAGCGUGGGGAGCAAACAGGAUUAGAUACCCCUGUAGUCCCUGUCUCUUAUAC